rnacentral:lncRNA from 1 species
AUGGAAUUUAUCACUGCUUUUUCGAAAUCAAUCAGGAUUGAGACUGGAGACAUUCCUGGAAGUGACUGGGCUAUGGCCCUAAAUAAUUUUGUGUCUCCUUUUUUGUUUGUCGUCAAAGAGGGAAAGUGCAUUAUAUCGAACGUCGAUGGUCGAGAAAAUUGCCACUGCCUUAUCAAGAAUGAAAUUAUCUCCAUAACCGCAACUCCAUGCUACUUGGCCAGGCUGAGCAGCUAGAUGCAUUGACCACCAACUCAGAAUGCUGUUAUGAACCAAAACUCAAAUCGAGGGAACCUCCUCUUCUGUUAAUUAGCUUUUACCUUUCACUUUGUUCAGGUGCAGUAAACUGUGACAUCUACCUAUCAAUAUUGUAUACAAAACUUUAGAAACAAUUUGUAAGCAUUGCUUAAAUGUAUUUCAUGAGAGAGUAUACAUUUCUAUGCAAGAGCAUAUGUGUUACCAAGUGAAAUGUUGUCAUUUAUCUCUGUCGAGAUCCCCUCUCUUUCAAAAUGUAAAAUCAGACUGUGUCUCAUCUACACAGGUGACACAAUCAGUAGGUAAGGCUGACAAUGAUUAAUUAGUUUCAAUUAGAAAUGGUUGGCUCGUUUCUGCAGAACUUCUCCAAAUUAGGAAACUAAAAUCUUUCACAUAUUCAAAUGCGCGUUUUCGCUUUUGAACAGCUUGCAAAACAUUCGGCGAAGUGUGACUAUUUUUGAAAAUAUGUGAUUAUUCAUGCGGAGAAGAACUAUGUUCACAUCAAUAGUAUUAGAAGGUACUAUGAUGGUUGAUGUAUGCAAAUCCUAUAGUCUCUUUCUUUUGAACCCAAAAUGGUUUCUUAAUCUCAAAAUAAUUCUUUUUAACACACAUAAGUUUGUACCUUUGUGGUCCAAUGAUGGACACAAGAGCUCUUAAUUGUUUGCACUUACCUACCUACCUUUUAUCGUUUUCCUGUGUGCCUUUUAUUGUUUACCUGUGUGCCUUAUACUGAGGUUGAAAAACUACAGUUCACUGAUAUUGACUUACUUUUCUUCCAAGUGGUUCUGUUGGAGGAUCUUUCCAAGUACCUAUGAUCACCUACCCAACAGUGAACAAGAUUGCAUUUUAAUAGUCAAAUAUUUUCUAGCUGACUUUAAUUAGACAACAAAUGAAUAAUAUCUAUCGAUUAAGUAGUCCAAUUGUUUAAAUUACCAUAUCCGUAUCAAUGUUUGCGUCAACAACACAGAAUCAGUAAUGCGAAUCAUCUUCGCAGAUUUGGCGUUGCUUAUAGUAGAAAACUUUGCAAUUAAGCAAGCCUUGACGAUUCUUCCUGACAUUUUUGGUGAAGUUUUUUUUCAAUUCCUUUGUUAAUAAAAUAAUUUAAAAUAAAUUUUUUCGAUUUUAAGGAAUCCAAGUAUUUUAAAACCGGAAGAAAAAUCACGAAACACAUCGAGUGUGUUCCGCAUUUUCAAGUAUCCGCUUUGACCAUGUUGUUGCUUACCUUCAAUAAGUCUGAGAAGGAGCCUUUUACAGAAGGCUUACUUCAGAUCCCCUCACAUUUUCCGUUGCUAAAUUUUUGAAAGAAUUAAAUUACUAAACUCGGAGACCAUACAUCGUACUGAUGUUCACGAUUCCCACUGUGCCUACUGCAGAAGAGGCUACGCUACGGGAGCAAGCACAAACGGACAGCCAAGGUGCUGAAGAGUAUGUAUUAAAUAUUAUUAAUUAUUAUUAUUAGUUUAUUUAAUUAUUGUAUUUAAAUAUUUAAUUCAUUGAAGGUUUAGUUUGUUACUUUACCUGAUAUAAAUUAAAGUGAACAAUGAUGAAAAAAGAAGUCUUUGAAUAAAUAAACGCUUAAUUAUCAGUAAAAGUUAAAUAUGUAAACAGAAGAGUCAAAAUAUAUAAGGUUUUUAAAGCGAUGAAUGGGAGUCAAAAGACAUCUUUUUCUUGCCUCUGAGGAUGUACAAAAAAUGACGUAUACGAAAUACGUUUUACGGGAUCUUAUUCUGCCAUAAAAAGAGUCUCUGAAAAUGGAAGGGUCAAAUUUUUGCGUGGUUGCCAAGUCACUGAAAAACAUCGUCAAAAAUCGAAGUUGCUUAAAAUCGUGUAUUUCUGGCUUGGUGAGAGCCCUGCGGGGUAGAAAAACAUCCCCCGGCAAAUGAAUUAUCAUAUCCUCUUAUUCUACUAUAAAAAGAGUCUACGAAAAUUGGAAGCCCGAUUUUUUACAUGCUUGCCAAGUCGUGCAAAAAAUGGCGAAAAUCGACGUAAUUUCGACCAAAUCGAGCGAUUCGGCCUUACUGUGAGCUUGAAAAUGGGGGAAAAAACCGCCCGCAUCCGAAAAACUAAUAUUUUUCCCUAAUCAUUCAUAUGGAUGGUUCCUAAAAACCGAAAAUUGACUUCAUGCGUGGUUGCCAAGUCAUCUGAAAAAGUCGAUAAAAUCGUUGAAAUGUACGAGGCGCGUUCGGCCGCAAUCGCGUUUUUUGCAUUUUUAAGGGCAUGUGGGGGCACCAAAAAUAUGUUGGUCUAAGAAUUAAUUAACCUUAUAUGACUUUACUAGGAGUGAGUUAAUCCUUCAAAAAUCAGGGCUCUAGCCAAUCUCCAUCAUGCUUAAACAGUGCGAUGGAAUUUGGGAAAACAGCUUGAAUCACGUGAUUUUUUGAUACAAAGUGAAGAAGAGGCACCCCAAGAUAUUUUUUUUUCGAGGAACG